rnacentral:rRNA from 1 species
AUUGAACGCUGGCGGCAGGCCUAACACAUGCAAGUCGAGCGGAUGAAGGGAGCUUGCUCCUGGAUUCAGCGGCGGACGGGUGAGUAAUGCCUAGGAAUCUGCCUGGCAGUGGGGGAUAACGUCCGGAAACGGGCGCUAAUACCGCAUACGUCCUGAGGGAGAAAGUGGGGGAUCUUCGGACCUCACGCUAUCAGAUGAGCCUAGGUCGGAUUAGCUAGUUGGUGGGGUAAAGGCCUACCAAGGCGACGAUCCGUAACUGGUCUGAGAGGAUGAUCAGUCACACUGGAACUGAGACACGGUCCAGACUCCUACGGGAGGCAGCAGUGGGGAAUAUUGGACAAUGGGCGAAAGCCUGAUCCAGCCAUGCCGCGUGUGUGAAGAAGGUCUUCGGAUUGUAAAGCACUUUAAGCUGGGAGGAAGGGCAGUAAGUUAAUACCUUGCUGUUUUGACGUUACCAACAGAAUAAGCACCGGCUAACUUCGUG